UACAGGGGGGGCAAGCGUUGUUCGGAAUUACUGGGCGUAAAGGGUUCGUAGGUGGCCACCUAAGUCAGGGGUGAAAUCCCGGAGCUCAACUCCGGAACUGCCUUUGAUACUGAGAAUCUUGAGUUCGAGAGAGGUGAGUGGAACUGCGAGUGUAGAGGUGAAAUUCGUAGAUAUUCGCAAGAACACCAGUGGCGAAGGCGGCUCACUGGCUCGAUACUGACGCUGAGGCGCGAAAGCUAGGGGAGCAAACAGG
rnacentral:rRNA from 1 species